AACCGAACGUCUAUUCUGCGUCUUCGAGAUUGUUGCUGGCAUGAAAUCCAAUAUUUAGGUUGAAUCCAAUUUCCUGGUUUACUCGUAUCGUAUCUUUUACGACAUCUCGAGACCAGUUCUGUCUCCACCUAUUCCUUUACUUACGCCAUCUAUCGAAUGUGGAUAGAUUGAUGGAAUUGACAAUGAGUACCGUACCUUGUAAGUUAUGUGGAAGGCCGACAUUAUUUGAAUGGAUUGGAUUAUACUGAUGCUGAAUUAAUGGAAUAUACAAUGACAGAAUGGUGAUGGGAAUUAUAUUGGAUGGUGAAAUUUAAUAUGGAAAAAAAUUUUACUGUGACGACUGACAUUGUUCCAGACGCCCUCGUUUCGGUGACAAAUAGAGUGAUUGUUUCAUAUUAUAACCAAACGUCAAGACAUCUUGGAAUCGGAGAACUGUGUUCUACUGAUCAAUCGUACUUCUGUAUUCACCUUGUUGUAGCUUGAUAGUAGAAACAACUUGUAAACAAAGCUAUGUAAAGAUGUGACUUUUAUACAAUUAACUGCAAAAAAUGUUAAUUCUGUAAUUGGACCAGAGUUAAUCAGAAUUGUUUUUAUUCAAUUCAG